rnacentral:rRNA from 2 species
GGGUUGUGAGGUUAAGCGACUAAGCGUACACGGUGGAUGCCCUGGCAGUCAGAGGCGAUGAAGGACGUGCUAAUCUGCGAAAAGCGUCGGUAAGGUGAUAUGAACCGUUAUAACCGGCGAUGUCCGAAUGGGGAAACCCAGUGUGAUUCGUCACACUAUCGUUAACUGAAUACAUAGGUUAACGAGGCGAACCGGGGGAACUGAAACAUCUAAGUACCCCGAGGAAAAGAAAUCAACCGAGAUUCCCCCAGUAGCGGCGAGCGAACGGGGAGCAGCCCAGAGUCUGAAUCAGCUUGUGUGUUAGUGGAACGGUCUGGAAAGUCCGACGGUACAGGGUGAUAGUCCCGUACACCAAAAUGCACAGGCUGUGAACUCGAAGAGUAGGGCGGGACACGUGGUAUCCUGUCUGAAUAUGGGGGGACCAUCCUCCAAGGCUAAAUACU